AAACACAGCUUUCCAACACAACUCAAUUGACGACGACAUAAUGGUGGAGAAUGACUUGUAUGAGAGGUUGGCGGAUGUGAUCAGUCAAGCUAUUCAGGAUCCUGGGACAGCGGACGAUCGUCAAGUCGAAGGAUACACUGUGAAGGAGGGUCCACCAGACAUUGGGAAUGGAAACAGUAACGCAACUCUCCAACACGACUCAAGUGACGACGACAUAAUGGUGGAGAAUCGCUUGUAUGAAAGGUCAUCUGAUGUGAUCAAUCAAGCCA